rnacentral:ncRNA from 2 species
AUGAGAAAUGCGGAAGAGACCAAUAUCAAUUGGCGCCGAAGGAGUAAGUCAUAAGUUUGCCAUUUAUGGAGAAUCUCUCAGGCAAAAGGACCGUAUUUGGACA